rnacentral:rRNA from 1 species
UACGUAGGCAGCGAGCGUUGUUCGGAAUUACUGGGCGUAAAGAGUGUGUAGGCGGUGUUCCCAGUCUGUUGUGAAAUCUCCCGGCUUAACUGGGAGGGUGCAGCGGAAACUAGAAUGCUAGAGGGUGGGAGAGGUAAGCGGAACUCCUGGUGUAGCGGUGAAAUGCGUAGAUAUCAGGAGGAACACCUGUGGUGUAGACAGCUUACUGGACCACUUCUGACGCUGAGACACGAAAGCGUGGGUAGCAAACAGG